CAAGCUUGCUUGGUGGAUCAGUGGCGAACGGGUGAGUAACACGUGAGCAACCUGCCCUGGACUCUGGGAUAAGCGCUGGAAACGGUGUCUAAUACUGGAUAUGAGGCGUGAUCGCAUGGUCAUGUUUGGAAAGAUUUUUCGGUCUGGGAUGGGCUCGCGGCCUAUCAGCUUGUUGGUGAGGUAAUGGCUCACCAAGGCGUCGACGGGUAGCCGGCCUGAGAGGGUGACCGGCCACACUGGGACUGAGACACGGCCCAGACUCCUACGGGAGGCAGCAGUGGGGAAUAUUGCACAAUGGGCGCAAGCCUGAUGCAGCAACGCCGCGUGAGGGAUGACGGCCUUCGGGUUGUAAACCUCUUUUAGCAGGGAAGAAGCGUGAGUGACGGUACCUGCAGAAAAAGCGCCGGCUAACUACGUGCCAGCAGCCGCGGUAAUACGUAGGGCGCAAGCGUUAUCCGGAAUUAUUGGGCGUAAAGAGCUCGUAGGCGGUUUGUCGCGUCUGCUGUGAAAUCCCGAGGCUCAACCUCGGGCCUGCAGUGGGUACGGGCAGACUAGAGUGCGGUAGGGGAGAUUGGAAUUCCUGGUGUAGCGGUGGAAUGCGCAGAUAUCAGGAGGAACACCGAUGGCGAAGGC
rnacentral:rRNA from 1 species